rnacentral:snRNA from 1 species
GUGCUUGCUUCGAAAGCACAUAUACUAAAAUUGGAAUGGUACAGACAGAAAAGACUAGCAUGGCCCCUGUACAAGGAUGAUAUGCAAAUUUGUGAAGCGUUCCCUAUUUUU